UCACUGGUGGACCACCUAAAAUCCAUCUCCUAACAAGCCACUAUUUAUCCAUCAUGACUUGACCUGAGCCACCCCCUCCUGGAGGCCCUCCCUGUUUCCCCAGGCUGGAUCAGGCAGCUCUUCUACACUCCCAGGUCCCACAGAGUCCCACAUUGAAGUCUAUCUAUGGAUUCACUCGUCUGUCUACCCUCUAGACUCUGAGGUUCUUAGAGGCAGAUAGGAGUCUUACAUCAAUAAUUAUUAUGAAGAUGAUUAUAAUGCAGAAAAAGCAGCUAAAAUAUAUUGAGAACUUACAUGCUAGGCAUUGUUAUAAGCACAUUACAUGUAGUAAAUUACUUGAUCCUCACAGCCACCUACCCACUGGAUGCCAAUAGCAGCUGCCCUGUCCCUCUCCCCGUUGUGGCAACCAAAAAUGUCUCCAGGCAUCGCCAAACAUCUCCUGCCAGGCAGGCUCGCCCCCAGCUGAGAACCACGGCUCCUGGCUUUAGAGCCCCAGCAUGGCACAGGAGGCCUGCGCACAGCAGAGGCCCAAAGACUGCUGGAAGCAUCAACUCAUGACUCACGCCCUCAACCUGAACUGAUUCAGAAAUGAGACAUCUUCUCACUCUCAGCCCUGGCAGGUGACGCUCAUCUCUGUGGCAGACACCUGAAAGUUCUCAUUCUUAUCACCCCUCCUUUCAUCAAGUUCCUGGGUGCUUACCCAAUAGGUAGGCCCUGUGAAUAUGUGGAGAAAUCUCUGGCCACUCCCAAAAACUACAGGACAAGAUUGCUGGGGAGGCCAGUUCAGCCCUCCUCUUUGCCCCACCAAGCAAGAGCUCUACGCUGAGAUCCAGGUCUCAGUCAACAGAGGGUAGCACGGGGUUAGGGGACUCCAGAUCCACUCCCACCCCCGGCUGUGAGACUUGGGGAAACUCCAUGUCCUCAUGUGUGACACGGGGUGAUGACACUGGUGAUGAUACAAGCCUGUCGGUUUCCCUAACCUAUGCAAAGCCCAAGACACACAGAAUCAAUACCCAGUAAAUGGGGCCUACUGGAUUAUUAUUGAAAGAACAAUCUUUUCGGUGACAAUUCUGCCCUUUCCCUGCUAUAGUUAGUCUAUUUUACAACAACUUGAACGCACUAGUCCCCAACCCCUUCGAAAGCAUUACGAAAAAAAGGAAGACAUUUUUAUAAAAAUAAAAUGGGUUGGUCAGCACUUUAGGAAUUCUCUUUUUACCUCAGAUCCUGCUGACCUUCAGAAAAUGUGUGGAGGAGGUAAAACGUGCUUCCAACACCCUCUCCAUUCCACACUUUGUACUUUUCCUCCCAGGCUACCUGGCAGUGGAUCGACUAAAUCUUACUAAAGUGUUAGUGGGUCAGUGAGCCGCUUGUCAUAAUCAAAAUACUAGCACAUCUAUACCACUUACUUUAUAUCGAGAACUGUACGCAUCUAGUGUAUGUUCAUAUUUGUCUCACAAGAACCCUAUGAAGCAGCUGAUAUCGUUUCCCCAUUUUAUAUAGGGGGAAAAUGAGGCUCAGAGAGGGUGAGUAAUUUGCCCAAGGUCACACAGCUUCUAAGUAGCAGAGCCAAGAUUCAUUCUCAGGCAACCUGGCUCCUCCACCCCCCUAACCACUACUUUAUCCUGCAUCUCAGGAAAGAGGUGAUUUCCUGGAUGGCGACACCCUGACCCUGACACAGGGAAGCAAGGAUCCCCCC
rnacentral:lncRNA from 1 species